rnacentral:rRNA from 1 species
AAGACAUGAAGUUAGGUCAGCAAACCCGCUGAAUUUAAGCAUAUAAGUAAGCGGAGGAAAAGAAACUAAAUAGGAUUCCCUCAGUAAUGGCGAAUGAACAGGGAUGAGCUCAGUAUGGAAAUUGGGGCCUGUGGCCUUGAAUUGUAGUCUGGAGAUGUACCACCAACUGGGGCGCAGAUGUAAGCCUCUUGGAAAAGAGCAUCAAUGAGGGUGAGAGUCCCGCUUGGCAUCUGCAGUCCCCAGUGCACGGUGUACCUUCUAAGAGUCACGUUCCUCGGGAUUGGAGCGCAAAUUGGGUGGUAAAUUUCAUCUAAAGCUAAAUAUUGUUUCGAGACCGAUAGCAAACAAGUACCAUGAGGGAAAGGUGAAAAGGACUUUGAAAAGAGAGUUAAAAGUGCCUGAAAUUGCUGAAAGGGAAGCGAAUGGAACCAGCGUAACUUGGUGAGAUUGCUGCGAAUCAAUGUGAUUGCUUGCUGCUUCAACGUAAGUGUGGUAGUAAGUCUUGAACAGGACAUGCGUGGUGUUUCUUGCCUUGUGUGUCACUGCCAGUUCAUAGCUGGGGAAAACUUCAGGGGCAUGGUAGCUUGUCUCCGGGCGGGUGAACGUGUCUGCUGGAACUCAUCUGUGGACUGAUUGGUGACUAAAUGGUUCCAUCUGACCCGUCUUGAAACAC